rnacentral:rRNA from 1 species
GACGAACGCUGGCGGCGUGCCUAAUACAUGCAAGUAGAACGCUGAAGAGAGGAGCUUGCUCUUCUUGGAUGAGUUGCGAACGGGUGAGUAACGCGUAGGUAACCUGCCUGGUAGCGGGGGAUAACUAUUGGAAACGAUAGCUAAUACCGCAUAAAAUUGAUUAUUGCAUGAUAAUUAAUUGAAAGAUGCAACUGCAUCACUACCAGAUGGACCUGCGUUGUAUUAGCUAGUUGGUGAGGUAACGGCUCACCAAGGCGACGAUACAUGGCCGACCUGAGAGGGUGAUCGGCCACACUGGGACUGGGACACGGCCCAGACUCCUACGGGAGGCAGCAGUAGGGAAUCUUCGGCAAUGGGGGGAACCCUGACCGAGCAACGCCGCGUGAGUGAAGAAGGUUUUCGGAUCGUAAAGCUCUGUUGUAAGAGAAGAACGGGUGUGAGAGUGGAAAGUUCACACUGUGACGGUAUCUUACCAGAAAGGGACGGCUAACUACGUG